AUUGAACGCUGGCGGCAGGCCUAACACAUGCAGGUCGAGCGGAUGAAGGGAGCUUGCUCCUGGAUUCAGCGGCGGACGGGUGAGUAAUGCCUAGGAAUCUGCCUGGUUGUGGGGGAUAACGUCCGGAAACGGGCGCUAAUACCGCAUACGUCCUGAGGGAGAAAGUGGGGGAUCUUCGGACCUCACGCUAUCAGAUGAGCCUAGGUCGGAUUAGCUAGUUGGUGGGGUAAAGGCCUACCAAGGCGACGAUCCGUAACUGGUCUGAGAGGAUGAUCAGUCACACUGGAACUGAGACACGGUCCAGACUCCUACGGGAGGCAGCAGUGGGGAAUAUUGGACAAUGGGCGAAAGCCUGAUCCAGCCAUGCCGCGUGUGUGAAGAAGGUCUUCGGAUUGUAAAGCACUUUAAGUUGGGAGGAAGGGCAGUAAGUUAAUACCUUGCUGUUUUGACGUUACCAACAGAAUAAGCACCGGCUAACUUCGUG
rnacentral:rRNA from 1 species